GCGCCCGUAGCUCAGGGGAUAGAGCACAGCGCUCCGGACGCUGGGGCCGCAGGUUCAAGUCCUGCCGGGCGCACCA
rnacentral:tRNA from 1 species